rnacentral:rRNA from 1 species
CUCAGGAUGAACGCUGGCGGCGUGCCUAAUACAUGCAAGUCGAGCGAACAGAUAAGGAGCUUGCUCCUUUGACGUUAGCGGCGGACGGGUGAGUAACACGUGGAUAACCUACCUAUAAGACUGGGAUAACUUCGGGAAACCGGAGCUAAUACCGGAUAACAUAUUGAACCGCAUGGUUCAAUAGUGAAAGGCGGCUUUGCUGUCACUUAUAGAUGGAUCCGCGCCGUAUUAGCUAGUUGGUAAGGUAACGGCUUACCAAGGCAACGAUACGUAGCCGACCUGAGAGGGUGAUCGGCCACACUGGAACUGAGACACGGUCCAGACUCCUACGGGAGGCAGCAGUAGGGAAUCUUCCGCAAUGGGCGAAAGCCUGACGGAGCAACGCCGCGUGAGUGAUGAAGGUCUUCGGAUCGUAAAACUCUGUUAUCAGGGAAGAACAAAUGUGUAAGUAACUGUGCACAUCUUGACGGUACCUGAUCAGAAAGCCACGGCUAACUACGUGCCAGC